AAUUUGACUCAACGCGGGAAAUCUUACCGGGUCCGGACACACUGAGGAUUGACAGGUAUUAUAUAGCGCGCUUGCGCGUCUAUUGUUAAAUAUGCUAGUCCUUUCAUGAUUAUGUGAUAGGUGGUGCAUGGCCGUUCUUAGUUCGUGGAGUGAUCUGUCUGCUUAAUUGCGUUUCAGAUAAGGAUCUAUAUUCUUUACAGAAGUGUUGCGUUGUGCAUUUGACCCCUCGUUCGCGAGUGCGUGUCUUUUCGCGCUCGCACGCUUUUUACAUUAGGUCCUGAAAGCAACGAACGUGACCGCAACCUCUUGUUGCCUCAUCUCCCUACUUUUUAGCGUGCACUUCGGUGUGCGUUAAUAAUUUCAUUGAGGCUUUCCAAAACUAGAGGGACCGCUGUCAACUUCUUAAACCAGAGGAAGGUUGCGGCAAUAACAGGUCUGUGAUGC
rnacentral:rRNA from 1 species